GACGAACGCUGGCGGCGUGCCUAAUACAUGCAAGUCGAGCGGACUUAAAAGGAGCUUGCUCCUUUUAAGUUAGCGGCGGACGGGUGAGUAACACGUGGGCAACCUGCCCUAUAGUUUGGGAUAACUCCGGGAAACCGGGGCUAAUACCGAAUAAUACAUUUUAACUCCUGUUAGAAUGUUGAAAGAUGGUUUACGCUAUCGCUAUAGGAUGGGCCCGCGGCGCAUUAGCUAGUAGGUGAGGUAACGGCUCACCUAGGCGACGAUGCGUAGCCGACCUGAGAGGGUGAUCGGCCACACUGGGACUGAGACACGGCCCAGACUCCUACGGGAGGCAGCAGUAGGGAACCCUCCACAAUGGACGAAAGUCUGAUGGAGCAACGCCGCGUGAGUGAAGAAGGUUUUCGGAUCGUAAAACUCUGUUGUAAGGGAAGAACAAGUGCAGUAGUAACUGGCUGCACCUUGACGGUACCUUAUUAGAAAGCCACGGCUAACUACGUGCCAGCCGCCGCGGUAA
rnacentral:rRNA from 1 species